AUACGGCUUCUUGGCUAUUACGUGUUGAAUUACUAUGAUUCUUGGCUAUCAGCAAUCGGAACUGCCAUUUGCAAGAAAUCACAAGCAAUUUGAAAAUCUUUUUAUUCUUGUUCUUAUAGGGCCGGAAAAAAAAAAAAAAAAGAAGAUUUCACUAGAUGAAGAUGAAAAUUCAAAUGCCUCGUAAGGACUAAGAUUAUCCCCUCACAAAAUCUCAAGGAAAAAUUGGGAGGAAUCUAUAAAAUUUCAAUCAUUUUCCAUCAACGUCGAAGUCCACAGACGAAGCCAUAGUCGGCACCAUCAUCCUCUGUUUGGGCACCGCCUUUAACCACCUUCGACUACUGCGCGUUCAUCACGGCUUCGAGGUCCCAAUCUGUCAAGCCUCGCAGACGAAAAAGCGAGAAAGCGAGCUGCACUGCAAGUCAGAGUGACCUGCCCUUUUAUUGAAUCAACGACCGCGAUUACUUUGCGCUGAUCGGUUACGAUCGCGCCCAUAUCCUCAAAACGGCGUCGCACCCUAACCAGACGCCUUGCUUUCUUGAGUGUGUUCGUUAAACUCUAUCUCAUCUAUUGGAUCUCAUUAUCCUCAUUCACCGAAAGAACCAGGCUCAGUCUCAAAUGAAGUUCAUUUGAAGUACUAUGGCAUAUAUUCUCAGCAGAGGUUACUGAAAAAUGGAGUUGAGAUCAUUCAUCUUGCAAUCUACCUUAACACCUUUGUUUCCAUCAUUUACAUGCUGCAUUAAGCCUUCUUUCCAGUCCAAGAAGAUGGACCAGAAGGUUUAUAAAUUAGAGAUCAGUAGAAGAAUGGGACUUCUAGCGGCCAUGACUUCAAUAGUAUUAGCAGGAGAGGGUAUUUUUAGCACAAAAAUCGCAAGUGGAUUUGAUUUUGGAUUUGUUGCCCCUGAUCAAACUAUUGAAGAAGCAGAGAGUGGAGUCAGAAGUCAUGCAAAAGCCUUAUUACAAGUGAAAGAUCUAUUGGAGACAGAGUCAUGGAAAGAAGCACAAAAAGCAUUGCGAAGGAGUUCAGCUCUUCUGAAGAAGGAUAUCUAUACCAUAAUCAAUAGCAAGCCUGGAAGUGAGAGGCCCCCACUAAGGAAGCUCUAUUCCAGUCUUUUCAAUAAUGUCAGUAGACUGGAUUAUGCAGCGAGGGAUAAAGACACCCAACAAGUCCGACAGUGUUACAACAACAUAGUUGUGGCUGUCAAUGGCAUUCUAUCCAGAAUAUAUCCAUCCUAGGCUUUUUAAAAUGAGGAAUUGAGAACUUGGUGGCAGAUUGAUGUCAAAAGCAACCUGAAACUUCCUGAUAUGAACUCUAAUAGCUGAGGGCGCCAAAGACAUUCCAGACUAUAAAAAUCACUUUUUCUAUUUUCUUUUCUUUCUUCACUCUAUUUUAUUUUUCCUUGAAAAAACAGCCUCUUAGUGUUUUAUCACACAUAAUUCAGAGGCUUUCAAUACAUUCACUAAUCUAUUUUACACCAUAGGCCAAAGUAAGAGGCCACCCUUUCACACCAACUUUCCUGCUUGUAGAAUUAAUGUUUCAUUGUACUCCAAUCUUGAGUAAUGGAAUGAAGGACAUCACUUGCUCUAUUUUCUUCUUCUUCAUUAUCACUAUUUUCUGGAUUCAAACUUCAAGUAACCCUUAACUGCAUGUUCUUGAAUGGUGCAAUCACCUUCCUGAUAGACUCGAAAUGGAAACAGUAGCAUUUGAUGAAGAUGUACCAUUAGACAUAGAAUUGUUUGUUCUAGGCCUCAAAUUAGUAUCAACAUAGACAGGCAUAGUUGGUUUCUUGUGCUCCAUUAAGCCCUUGCUUUUGAGCAUAACAACAAUUUCAGACAUUGUUGGCCUAGCUGCGGGAGAUGCUUGAGUGCACAGCAAUGCAAUCUCUAUUAUUUUCUUUACUUCUUCUGCAUCGUAUUCAUUUGGAUCUAAGGUUUUAUCCACAAAAUCUAUGUGCAUUCCUCUCUCAUGCAGUCUCCAAGCCUGUCAAGAGGGAUCAAAGUGAUAUAGCAAAGAAAAAGGAGUUUCUUGAAGUUUAUUAGACCAUUGCUAUCAUGUACUUUACUAAAACAGUAACAUGUGAAUUAAUUUUUAUAGGGCAAGUAUCAUUGUUGUAUUGUUGAGCGGUAAAAAUGUUCAUUUUUUAUGUUAUAUAUUGAAAGUCGUUUAAACUCCUAAAGCUGCAGUUAGAGUUUCUUCAAUAAAUAUAACCCCUGUUAUAUUUGUUCUGGCAAUUUGCUUACUCUUUGAAGGAGGAGUUCGCUUGAAUCAUCAAUCUUCAAUUCACCACUCUUUUGUCCACUUAUGAUUUCUAGAAGUACAACACCAUAGCUAUAAGUAUCAACCUUCUCUGAUAAUUGUCCAUGCAUUGCAUAUUCAGGUGCUGUGUAUCCCCUGACAAAAAUAUAGUAUUUAUGGCAUACUAAAUCAAAACAAUAACAUACAUGAAAGUGGGACAUAUAUGAACACUGAUAAAAUAAAUUUGAUAUGUUCAUGUGCAUCUUCGGGUGUUGUAUCACAUAUUAAAUGUGUCAUAAACGGAUACAAUCUUUCUUGAAUUACUUGAGCUCUGUAGAAACAAAACAUCAAUGAAAAGGAUUUAAAGGUGUAAUAACAGUGUUCCAUUUGCUUAGCACAUGAAUUUUUUUGCAAUCUUUUGUUUUUGUGUGUGAAUAAUAAAAGAAUAAAAUAUGAUAAAUUUCAUCUGCUUUUACUUACAUUGUUCCUGCAAAUUUUGUGUUGAGAUGAGAUUGGUCCUUUGGCAAAAGUCUUGCCAACCCAAAGUCAGCAAUUUUAGGUUGGAAAUCAUCAUCCAAGAGAAUAUUGCUAGUCUUUAUAUCUCUAUGAAUAAUACAAACAUGGAAUUCCUCAUGCAGAUAAGCCAAACCCCUUGCAGUGCCCAAAAUUAUGUUAUAGCGUUGCUUCCAAUUGAGGGAACCCUUAUUUGUACC